rnacentral:rRNA from 1 species
UACGAAGGGAGCUAGCGUUGUUCGGAAUCACUGGGCGUAAAGCGCACGUAGGCGGAUGUGUCAGUCAGGGGUGAAAUCCCGGAGCUCAACUUCGGAACUGCCUUUGAUACAGCACGUCUUGAGUCCGAUAGAGGUGGGUGGAAUUCCUGGUGUAGAGGUGAAAUUCGUAGAUAUUAGGAAGAACACCGGUGGCGAAGGCGGCCCACUGGAUCGGUACUGACGCUGAGGUGCGAAAGCGUGGGGAGCAAACAGG